GACGAACGCUGGCGGCGUGCUUAACACAUGCAAGUCGAACGGAAAGGCCCUGCUUUUGUGGGGUGCUCGAGUGGCGAACGGGUGAGUAUCACGUGAGUAACCUGCCCUUGACUUUGGGAUAACUUCAGGAAACUGGGGCUCAUACCGGAUAGGAGCUCCUGCUGCAUGGUGGGGGUUGGAAAGUUUCGGCGGUUGGGGAUGGACUCGAGGCUUAUCAGCUUGUUGGUGGGGUAGUGGCUUACCAAGGCUUUGACGGAUAGCCGGCCUGGGAGGGUGAACGGCCACAAUGGGACUGAGAGACGGACCAGAAUCCUACGGGACGCAGCAGUGGAGAAUAUUGCAGAAUGGGCGGGAGCCUGAUGCAGCAACGCCGCGUGCGGGAUGACGGCCUUCGGGUUGUAAACCGCUUUCGCCUGAGACGAAGCGUGAGUGACGGUAAUGGGUAAAGAAGCACCGGCUAACUACGUG
rnacentral:rRNA from 1 species